AGAACGAACGCUGGCGGCAUGCCUAAUACAUGCAAGUCGAACGAGACCUUCGGGUCUAGUGGCGCACGGGUGCGUAACGCGUGGGAAUCUACCCUUGGGUUCGGAAUAACAGUUGGAAACGACUGCUAAUACCGGAUGAUGACGAAAGUCCAAAGAUUUAUCGCCCAGGGAUGAGCCCGCGUAGGAUUAGCUAGUUGGUGAGGUAAAGGCUCACCAAGGCUACGAUCCUUAGCUGGUCUGAGAGGAUGAUCAGCCACACUGGGACUGAGACACGGCCCAGACUCCUACGGGAGGCAGCAGUAGGGAAUAUGGACAAUGGGGCAACCCUGAUCCAGCAAUGCCGCGUGAGUGAUGAAGGCCUUAGGUGUAAAGCUCUUUACCGAGAUGAUAAUGACAGUAUCGGAGAAUAAGCUCCGCUAACUCCGUGCCAGCAGCCGC
rnacentral:rRNA from 1 species